AAGGCAGAGAGGAGGAGGGCUAGGGGAGGACACAAUGGAAACUAAGGGGGAGCUGCCAUCUUUAUUGUGGAUACUGGCAGGAGACAGGUGGCGAUACUCAACCGUCAUCUUUACUGAGGGCACAGCGUCAGACUUUGAGAGAAAAAUACUUGAGUUUUAGAACAAAGUUCCAAUCACCGCCUCGCUCUUCUUCACACAUCUACCUCAGCGUUUCAGACUGCGGCACUGAAAUAUUUCCCCGCAACAUUUCAGACUUGAGCCUGAACACUGGGAUUUUUCCCAGUAGGAAAGGGAUUUUUCUGCAGCUGCUGGCCCAGGGGAGCGGGGAAAUCCAGUCAGCGAGCACUUUCCUCUACUUUGUGUCACUGUAACAUAAGGACACUGUGGGGUGGGAUGUGCCCAGCUCUCCCCUCAGGAUCAGCUGCAGCAUUUGGUUUCCUCGGCUGUUGCAAGUGUGUCACGUUUCCCUCGGUCACCAGCCAGGCUGCCUCAAGGGGAUUCUCACCUGGCUGGGAAAUAGGCCACUGAUGGGGCUGGCACAGGCUAUGGGCUCGGUGUACCUCCCCGCAGCUCUGCUCUCUGUUGGGAACAGAUGAACGCUGUCAGCCUGCGUGUGCCCCAGGCCCGGCCCCAGGUGUGUGUGGUUGUGGUGGGCCUCCCAUCCCUGCUCCUAUUGCUCUUCUCUGGAUGCACAUGAGUGCAUGUGGAGCAGCUGUUGGUGCCCGAGACAGCAAGGAAAUGUACUGCUUGGUACAACUAAGCUCUUAAUCUCAUCUCCUUUCCAGUCAUCCACGUCUGAUGCUUUGCAGCUGGGGUCUGACGGCCCUAAGAUAUGCUUGGUCCCUUCAACUCCCCCACUGCCUUCCGGAGGCAUUUGUCACCUGAUGUGACCGGCUCCCCUUUUGCAGUGGCCUCACCUUCUGUCCCGCUGAAGCUUGGUGUGCAAAACCAGGUCUUCCAUAUGGCACCAGGAUCCACUCAUCCCAUCUACAGUGUGCCUGCACAUCCUUACAGAGCAGAAAUGAGCGUUCACUUCAUGAAAUGAGUGAACAUUUACUUAGGAUACCAGCGUGCUGUUGGUUAAGGUUACAGUAGGAUAUUAUAUAUUUAAUGCAUGCCAUUAAAUCACCAUCCAUCAGCCACAAGUGCUGAGUCUGCAGAGUCCCAGCAUAUUCCUUUCUGAAAGGAAAUCAGAAGGGCCCUCCUUGUCAACACUUCAUGAAAUGGUUGUCUCACAGACAACGGCAUGCAGAAAUAUACACACAUACAUACGCAGAUGUGAUGGAAAACUUCCCUGGGUUACUGCACUGCCCAAAGUUUUAAAAUUUGCAGCUUCAAGAGGCGAGGAAAGUAAAUGUAUAGUCUAAAAGCCAUUAACAACUUGUGAUAAUCUUCUUAAUGUUAUUUAACCUUAUCUUAAUUAGCAGUACAUUUGGGGAGAUUAUGGAAAAUCCUUGUACGAGCAAGCCAUCCUGGAAUGGUGUUCUCCUACUUCAGAAGCCAGACUGAGAUUCUUGCUGCUUCAGAAAGGAAAUGCUAAAGGGAUUCCAGGAAAUACAUACUUAUGGACAGUGCAAUGGUAUGACCCAUGGAACAGGUUGCCCAAAGAAGUUGUGGAUGCCCCAUCCCUGGAGGAGUUCAAGACCAGGCUGGAUGGGGCCCUGGGCAGCCUGAUCUGGUGGGGGGUAACCAGCCAGGUCCCUUCCAGCUGAGCCAUUCUAUGAUUCUAUGUUGACCACAAAGUGUGAGGGAGCAGGGUGAUAGCCUGCUGCUCAGUGCACUGGGGCAGAAGCAUGGUGGUGGCACAAGGAUAGAUGUCACCAUCAGCUGAACCUGGCUUGCUUUCUGUCCUCAAGUCAAGUCCCUACACUGGGGACCUAGGUCAGCAUUCAGUUUUGCUCGCUCCAGAGCAAAAUUCCUCCUCAGCUAAGUCAAGCAGAAUCAAACUGUUCUGCUAAUGUAAAUCAGGUCUCAAUAAACUGCCUGGAAUUUCA